UAAAAAUAACAAAACUUUGACCAAUGACCCAGAUCUCCUCUCACACGCAUGGACGACCCUGAUAUGUUUUCUCUUCAGACGUAAUCGAAUGGCUAGAUUUGAUCAUGUCGUGCGGUCUAGAUUAAUUUCUUAAAUGAGAGCGAUCCAACGACGGUGAGUGGGCCACGUGUCCCUGUACGGACGUGUCUAGAUCGACGCAGAGAAGGUAUAUAAGCAUCACAUCCCCAAAAUUCUAACCCUAACAGCACCUGACCUCGCUGGAGAAGAAGAAAAAGGACGGUCAGAAAGAAAAUCGACCGUCAUCACCGCCACACCGGAGCCACUGCCGAUGCUGGAAAGGUAAAUUUUUUUUCCCCUUUCGUUCGAAAUUUGAUUUCAAACCUCAUCACAUUCAUAUCGGAGCCAGAAAGCCAAAAGAUAAGCCGAAAAAUAAGAACGGAGCUCAACCGAGCGCCAGGACC
rnacentral:lncRNA from 1 species